GACGAACGCUGGCGGCGUGCUUAACACAUGCAAGUCGAACGGAAAGGCCUGCUUUCCCUUGUGGAUUGCGGGUACUCGAGUGGCGAACGGGUGAGUAACACGUGAGUGAUCUGCCCCCAACUUGGGUAUAAGCCUGGGAAACUGGGUCUAAUUCCCGAUAGGACUGCAGGGUGGUGCCUGUGGUGGAAAACGAUUUUCUAGUGGUUGGGGAUGAGCUCGCGGCCUAUCAGCUUGUUGGUGGGGUAAUGGCCUACCAAGGCGGCGACGGGUAGCCGGCCUGAGAGGGUGGACGGCCACAUUGGGACUGAGAGACGGCCCAGACUCCUACGGGAGGCAGCAGGGGGGAAUAUUGCACAAUGGGCGGAAGCCUGAUGCAGCGACGCCGCGUGGGGGAUGACGGCCUUCGGGUUGUAAACUCCUUUCGACCGCGAGGAAGCCACCUGGUUGGAAGGGUGGUGACGGUAGUGGUAGAAGAAGCACCGGCUAACUACGUG
rnacentral:rRNA from 1 species